rnacentral:rRNA from 1 species
AUGGCGCAAAUCAUCGACGGCAAGGCCAUCGCCGCCGAAAUCAGGCGCGAGAUCGGCGCCGAGGUCGCCGUGCUCUCGUCCGCCCACAACAUCGUGAGCCCCUAUCCCACCCGACGCCGCAGCUGGACCAAUCGACCAGCUGUGGAUUGGGAUAAUGUCCGUGACGCUGAUUUUUUCCUUCUGUCGCAGGUGCCGGGGCUGGCGGUGGUGAUCGUGGGGAGCAGGAAGGACUCGCAGACGUACGUGCAGAUGAAGCGCAAGGCCUGCGCCGAGGUCGGCAUCCGCUCCUUCGACGUCGACCUCCCCGAGGACAUCUCCGAGGCCGCGCUCGUCGCCGAGGUCCACCGCCUCAACGCCGACCCCGCCGUCCACGGAAUUCUUGUUCAGCUUCCAUUGCCCAAGCAUAUCAACGAAGAAAAUAUCUUAAACCAGAUCUCCAUUGAGAAAGAUGUCGACGGCUUUCAUCCUUUGAACAUUGGCAAGCUCGCAAUGAAAGGCAGAGAUCCACUGUUCGUACCUUGCACGCCAAAGGGAUGCAUGGAGCUCCUGUCACGAAGUGGCGUCACUGUAAAAGGAAAACACGCAGUUGUGGUUGGGCGUAGCAACAUCGUGGGUUUACCAGUAUCCCUUCUCCUGCUGAAAGCGGACGCGACCGUGUCGAUCGUGCAUUCACGGACCCCAAAUCCCGAAACAAUUGUCCGUCAAGCAGACAUUGUCAUUGCAGCAGCUGGCCAGGCCAUGAUGAUCAAGGGAGACUGGAUCAAACCAGGCGCGGCGGUCAUAGACGUCGGGACAAACUCCAUCGACGACCCAACCAGGAAGUCUGGGUACAGACUCGUUGGCGAUGUGGAUUUCUCGGAGGCGAGCAAGGUCGCGGGUCACCUGACUCCGGUCCCCGGAGGCGUCGGGCCGAUGACCGUGGCGAUGUUGCUGAAGAACACGGUGGACGGCGCCAAGAGGGGUAUAGUCAGCUGA